UACGUAGGGUGCAAGCGUUAUCCGGAAUUAUUGGGCGUAAAGAGCUCGUAGGCGGUUUGUCGCGUCUGCUGUGAAAACUGGAGGCUCAACCUCCAGCCUGCAGUGGGUACGGGCAGACUAGAGUGCGGUAGGGGAGAUUGGAAUUCCUGGUGUAGCGGUGGAAUGCGCAGAUAUCAGGAGGAACACCGGUGGCGAAGGCGGGUCUCUGGGCCGUAACUGACGCUGAGGAGCGAAAGCGUGGGGAGCGAACAGG
rnacentral:rRNA from 1 species